rnacentral:lncRNA from 1 species
AGGUUAGGUCCGUACUGUCGAUCAGCAUUUCACGUUGACCUGAUAAAAAUAUUUCACUUGAAGUAUUCAUCGUCAUGUUAAUUCGUUUAUAAAGAUUUUUGAUUAGAGAUUUGUCAUAGAACAGUGUUUUGCACAACAACAUUGGUGAAACGCGAAGAGAAAUGUACCUGUAUGUUCGCUCCUUUACGCCGUUUUUCGGAUGGGUAAAGCUAGGUAGUACAUAGAUAGUACAUAUGUGAAGGGUCCCCGGCCAAUGACACUGCCAGCUCAAUGCUUUUGCGAUUGUCCAUUGAAUUGAGAUUAUGCGAAUUCAACCAAGAUCCAGAAUAUUUCUACCUUUCACAAAUUCGAUAUAGUUUAGAAAGCUGGUGUCGUGUAAAAUUAUUAAGGAAAAUACGCUGUACCAUAUAAUAGUAUAUCAGAAUGCUAUAGACACUGAUAACAUUGGAGAACUUUAUGGCAUAAUGUGUAUUGUGUAUGUCGAGUAUUGCUACUUUAUGUCUUCGAUUGUGGCAUUAUUAAUUGGAGAAUUCAUUGCUGAUAUCCUGGUAUUAGUCACAACAUUUGACGUGGAUUGAAUAGCAGAGCAAAUUAUAUAUACGUGUCACGAGUAGUUGUCCUGCCCAUCAUUUUUCAUCGAAAUCAAUUUAAAUUUUCCGAGACACGAGGAUUUCUAUUUCAUAUUCGCAGAAAUUCAUAUAUUGCAAGUUUGCAUAUUCAGCGCAGGAAACACUUUCCUCCCAAUACUGCGCUGAAAUGAAGUCAGAGACUGUAAACAAGCUGCACACAAUGUUGGAUGGUAUCGCUGACUUGCAAUGGAUCAUGAUACCAUAUAGUUUGCAUCCAACACAGGAAAUUUUAUCUUCCCAGGAUUGCGCUUAACUGAAGUCAAAGGCUGUAUUAAGCCGUGCUGAUAUUUGGGGUGACUACGCUACAAUUUGCAUCAAUGUGGCUUAUACCCCAGCGGCAAAUGUUUACUUUCCGUUAAAGCUUGUCAAAUAUAAGAUCUAACAUCGAUAUAAGAUCAACGAAAAAAGUAUUAAAAUAAUCAAAUUACAUUUAGGAGAAUUAAAGAAGUACAGAAUAAAAUUAAUGAAAGAAGUACAAAAAAAAUGUUUUUAAAAAAAACAUAUAAACUUCUGACUAAAAAAAUCUUAUAGCACAUUGCAAAUAAAAUGAA